GGAGCCACUGGAACUCGACCUCGGGGGCUGUGACAGGGCUGAGCCACAGGAACGUGUCCGUGGAGAGAGAACAAACUGGGAACGGGAGGUGGAGUAUGCAGAGAGGGACAGAGAGAUCCGGGAGGAUCAGGAGUGGGAAGAACGAGGUGAUCCGAGAAGAAGAAGAAGACUGAGGGAGAGGAGGGUUGACCUUCAAGGGGAGCUGGAGGUGGAGGUCUCUGAGCGCCGCAGCCGCCAGACAUGGGACAGGGAGGAAAGAGAGACACAGGAGCUGGAAGAGGAUAGAAGGAGAGAACAGGAGUCAGUGAGGUACGAAAGGACAAGAGACACCAGAGCAGCAGCAGCAGAAGUUGAUGUGAAGGUCCACAGAGAGAUCCGUGAACUGGAGCCACGGGAGGAGCUGAGAAGGAGGGAACCUCCUCGUGAAGAGGAAGAGAGGAGAGUUUGCAGGAGAAGAGACAGAGAAGAGCCUGUUCUGGAGAGGAGGAUCGAUCGCCAGAGGGAGCUGGAGCUGGAGGUCUCUGAGCGCCGCAGCCGCCAGACACGGGACAGGGAGAGAGGGGUCAUCAUUGACCGGAGAGAGACCCGGGAGCUGGAAGAGGAUGGAAGGAGAGAACGUGAGUCAGUGAGGUACGAAAGGACAAGAGACACCAGAGCAGCAGCAGCAGAAGCCGACGUGAAAAUCCACAGAGAGAUCCGUGAAUUGGAGCCACGGGAGGAGCUGAGGAGGGAACGCGACCGUGAAGUGGAAGAGAGGAGGGUUUGCAGAAGAAGAGAGAGGGAAGAGCCUGUGCUGGAGAGGAGGGUUGAUCUUCAAGAGGAGCUGGAGGUGGAGGUCUCUGAGCGCCGCAGCCACCAGACACGGGACAGGGAGGAAAGAGAGACACGGGAGCUGGAAGAGGAUGGAAGGAGAGAACGUGAGUUGGUGAGGUACGAAAGGACAAGAGACACCAGAGCAGCAGCAGCAGAAGCUGAUGUGAAGGUCCACAGAGAGAUCCAUGAACUGGAGCCACGGGAGGAGCUGAGAAGGAGGGAACGUGACCGCGAAGUGGAAGAGAGGAGGGUUUGCAGGAGAAGAGACAGAGAAGAGCCCGUUCUGGAGCAGAGGAUCGAUCGCCAGAGGGAGCUGGAGGUCUCUGAGCGCCGCAGCCGCCAGACACGAGAAAGAGAGGAAAGAGGGGUCAUCAUUGACCGGAGAGAGACACAAGAGCUGGAAGAUGAUGGAAGGAGAGAACGUGAGUCAGUGAGGUACGAAAGGACAAGAGACACCAGAGCAGCAGCAGCAGAAGCUGAUGUGAAAAUCCACAGAGAGAUCCAUGAACUGGAGCCACGGGAGGAGCUCAGAAGGAGAGAAGGUGACAGCAAAGUGGAAGAGAGGAGGGUUUGCAGGAGAAGAGACAGAGAAGAGCCUGUGCUGGAGCAGAGGAUCGAUCGCCAGAGGGAGCUGGAGGUCUCUGAGCGCCGCAGCCGCCAGACACGAGAAAGAGAGGAGAGAGGGGUCAUCAUUGACCAGAGAGAGACACGGGAGCUUGAGGAUGAUGGAAGGAGAGAACGUGAGUUGGUGAGGUACGAAAGGACAAGAGACACCAGAGUAGCAGCAGCAGAAGCUGAUGUGAAAAUCCACAGAGAGAUCCGUGAACUGGAGCCACGGGAGGAGCUGAGAAGGAGGGAACCUCCUCGUGAGUGUGGAGAAGAGAGGAGGAUUC
ensembl:lncRNA